rnacentral:rRNA from 1 species
AUGGCGGACGGGGGGCCGCCGCACGCGCACGGGCAGAUGGUCCGCAGGCUGGCGGUGGAGGUGGUGGACGCGCGGGACCUGGUGCCCAAGGACGGGCUCGGCACCUCCAGCGCCUACGCGGUGGCCGACUUCGACGGACAGCGCAAGCGCACGCGGACCGUGCCGCGGGACCUCAACCCGCAGUGGCACGAGCGCCUCGAGUUCGCCGUGCCCGACCCGGCCGCCAUGCACGCCGAGUCGCUCGACGUCUCGCUCUACCACGACCGCCGCUUCAACCCCUCCGGCGGGGGCGCCGGGGGCGGCAAGAACCACUUCCUCGGCCGCGUCCGCAUCUACGGCUCCCAGUUCUCGCGCCGCGGCGAGGAGGGCAUUGUCUACUUCCCGCUCGAGAAGCGCAGCCUGCUCAGCUGGAUCCGCGGCGAGGUCGGCCUCAAGAUCUACUACUACGACGAGCCGGCCGUGCCGCCCCCGCCGCCGCCGGAGGACCGGCCGCCCGAGGGGGCUGACAACGCGCCGCCGCCCGAGGUCCCGCCGGAACAGCCCAGGGAGCUCCCACCUGAGCUCCCAGAGCCGACGGAGGCCGCCGUGGAGGUGCAGCAGCCGCAGGCGCAGCCUCCGGUCAUCAUCGUGGAGGAAGCUCCCAUGCACGGGCCACACGGUCCCAUAAUGCCGCCGCCCAUGAUGCACGGCCACAUGAUGCCGCCGCCGAUGCAUGGGCCACACGGCCCGAUGAUGCAUGGUCCGCACGGUCCCAUGAUGCACGCCCGGAUGAUGCCACCGCAGCCAGAGCCUGAGCCGGAGCCGCAGCCGCAGCGUGAACCAGGGCCGGGGCCCGACGGGGCAGAAAUGCACCCGCCUGAGCUCCGCAAGGAACGGAUGGCGUCGACCAACGGGCAUGUCCGCGUCCCCCGACACCCGAGCGGCGGCUUCGGGCCUGAUUACUACACGGCCGCCUCUCCCCGCGUCAUCUCCGGGCGGUUCGCGUCCGCCGGCGAGGCCGUCGAGCCGGUGCAGUCGACGUACGACCUGGUGGAGCCGAUGCGAUACCUCUUCGUGCGCAUCGUGCGGGUGCGCGGCAUCCGCGCCUGCGAGGGCCCCUACGUCAAGAUCCAAGCCGGCCCGCACUGCCUCCGCUCCCGGCCGGGCCGCGACGUCUCCGGCACCGGCAGCCCCGAGUGGAACCAGGUGUUCGCCGUCAGCCAUGCGAAGCCGGAGCCGACUCUCGAGAUAUCCGUCUGGGACGGCGGGGCGCCAUCUCCGGCGGACGCCUUCCUCGGCGGAGUGUGCUUCGAUCUCUCCGACGUGCCCGUCCGCGACCAGCCGGACGGACCGCUGGCGGCGCAGUGGUACCGGCUCGAGGGCGGCGAGCCGGGCAUGGUCACAGGGGACAUCAUGGUGUCGGUGUGGAUCGGCACGCAGGCCGACGACGUGUUCCCGGAGGCCUGGAACACCGACGCGCCCUACGCCGCCUACACCCGCGCCAAGGUGUACCAGUCGCCCAAGCUGUGGUACCUGCGGGCGUCGAUCAUCGAGGCGCAGGACCUGCGCGUGCCGACGCCGCCGCCGGGGCUGCCGUUCGACGUGCGCGUCAAGGUCCAGCUCGGCUUCCAGUCGGCGCGCACCCGCCGGUCGGUGGCCAGCAGCAGCGGCUCGGCGUUCGCGUGGUCCGAGGACCUCAUGUUCGUCGCGUCCGAGCCGCUGGACGACACCCUCGUCCUGCUCGUGGAGGACCGGUCGAUGAUCAAGGAGCCUGCUCUGCUCGGCCACGCCACCAUCCCCGUGAGCUCCGUCGAGCAGCGCCUCGACGAGCGGCAGAUCGUCGCGUCAAGAUGGUUCAAUCUCGAGGGCGGCAUGGGUCAUGGAGACAGCGGGGAUCAGCAGGGACAAGCACCUCCAGGGUUCUACUCGGGCAGGCUGCACCUUCGACUCUCGCUGGAGGGAGGAUACCACGUGCUCGACGAGGCGGCGCACGUGUGCAGCGACUACCGGCCGACGGCGAAGCAGCUGUGGAAGCCGCCGGUGGGCGUGCUGGAGCUCGGCAUCGUCGGAGCGUGCGGCCUGCUCCCCAUGAAGACGAAAGGAGGGUCCAAGGGCUCCACGGACGCCUACUGCGUGGCCAAGUACGGCAAGAAGUGGGUGCGCACGCGCACCGUCACCGACACCUUCAACCCGCGCUGGAACGAGCAGUACACGUGGCAGGUGUACGACCCGUGCACGGUGCUCACCGUCGCCGUCUUCGACAACUGGCGCAUGUUCGCCGGCGCCGGCGACGAGCGCCAGGACUACCGCAUCGGCAAGGUGCGCGUGCGCGUCUCCACGCUCGAGACCAACCGCGCCUACACCGCGUCCUACCCGCUGCUCGUGCUGCUGCGCCCGGGGCUCAAGAAGAUGGGCGAGGUGCAGCUCGCCGUGCGCUUCUCGUCGCCGGCGCACCUCCCCGACACCUGGGCCACCUACACCUCGCCGCUCCUGCCGCGCAUGCACUACCUCCGCCCCAUCGGCGUCGCGCAGCAGGAGGCGCUGCGGGGCGCGGCCGUGCGCACCGUGGCAGCAUGGCUGGCGCGCUCCGAGCCGCCGCUCGGGCCGGAGGUGGUGCGCUACAUGCUGGACGCGGACGCGCACACCUGGAGCGUGCGCCGCGCCAAGGCCAACUGGUUCCGCAUCAUGGGGGUGCUCGCCUGGGCCGUCGGGCUGGAGCGGUGGCUCGACGGCGUGCGGCGCUGGCGCAACCCCUCCACCACCGUCCUCCUCCACGUCCUCUACCUCGUCCUCGUCUGGUACCCCGAGCUGGUGGUGCCCACCGCGUCGCUCUACGUCUUCCUCAUCGGCGUCUGGUACUACCGGUUCCGGCCGCGGGCGCCGGCCGGCAUGGACGCGCGGCUGUCGCAGGCCGACACCGUGGACGGCGACGAGCUGGAGGAGGAGUUCGACGCCGUCCCGGCGCCCGACGUCCUCCGGCUACGGUACGAGAGGCUGCGCACGCUGGCCGGGCGGGUGCAGCGCGUCAUGGGCGACGUCGCGGCGCAGGGCGAGCGGCUGCAGGCGCUGGUGAGCUGGAGGGACCCGCGGGCGAGCCGGAUCUUCGUCGGCGUCUGCCUGGCCGUCGCCGUGGCGCUGUACGCGAUGCCGCCCAAGAUGGUGGCCGUGGCGAGCGGGUUCUACUACCUCCGCCACCCCAUGUUCCGGGACCCGAUGCCCGCCGCGGCCGUCAACUUCUUCCGCCGCCUGCCCAGCCUCUCUGACAGGAUGCUAUGA